rnacentral:rRNA from 1 species
ACGGGAGGCAGCAGUAGGGAAUAUUGCACAAUGGGGGGAACCCUGAUGCAGCAACGCCACGUGUGGGAAGACGCAUUUCGGUGUGUAAACCACUGUCGUGAGGGAAUAAGGCUACUUUCCGGAGUAGUUGAAUGUACCUUGAAAGGAAGCACCGGCAAACUUCGUGCCAGCAGCCGCGGUAAUACGAGGGGUGCAAGCGUUGUUCGGAAUCACUGGGCGUAAAGGGAGCGCAGGCGGAGAUGCAAGCGGACUGUACAAUACCGGGGCCCAACCCCGGACCUGCAGUCCGGACUGCACCUCUUGGAUAGUUCAGGGGCAAGCGGAAUUCCUGGUGUAGCGGUGGAAUGCGUAGAGAUCAGGAAGAACACCGAUGGCGAAGGCAGCUUGCUGGGGACUAAUCGACGCUCAUGCUCGAAAGUGCGGGUAGCAAACAGGAUUAGAUACCCUGGUA